GACGAACGCUGGCGGCGUGCCUAAUACAUGCAAGUCGAGCGCAGGAAAUCGACGGAACCCUUCGGGGGGAAGUCGACGGAAUGAGCGGCGGACGGGUGAGUAACACGUAAAGAACCUGCCCUCAGGUCUGGGAUAACCACGAGAAAUCGGGGCUAAUACCGGAUGGGUCAUCGGACCGCAUGGUCCGAGGAUGAAAGGCGCUUCGGCGUAGCCGGGGGAUGGCUUUGCGGUGCAUUAGCGAGUUGGUGGGGUAAUGGCCCACCAAGGCGACGAUGCAUAGCCGACCUGAGAGGGUGAUCGGCCACACUGGGACUGAGACACGGCCCAGACUCCUACGGGAGGCAGCAGUAGGGAAUCUUCCACAAUGGACGAAAGUCUGAUGGAGCAACGCCGCGUGAACGAUGAAGGCCUUCGGGUCGUAAAGUUCUGUUGUAAGGGAAGAACAAGUGCCGCAGGCAAUGGCGGCACCUUGACGGUACCUUGCGAGAAAGCCACGGCUAACUACGUGCCAGCAGCCGCAGUAA
rnacentral:rRNA from 1 species